GAUGAACGCUGGCGGCGUGCCUAAUACAUGCAAGUCGAGCGAACGGACGAGAAGCUUGCUUCUCUGAUGUUAGCGGCGGACGGGUGAGUAACACGUGGAUCACCUACCUAUAUGACUGGGAUAACUUCGGGAAACCGGAGCUAAUACCGGAUAAUAUUUUGAACCGCAUGGUUCAAAAGUGAAAGACGGUCUUGCUGUCACUUAUCGAUGGAUCCGCGCUGCAUUAGCUAGUUGGUAAGGUAACGGCUUACCAAGGCAACGAUGCAUAGCCGACCUGAGAGGGGGAUCGCCCACACUGGAGCGUAGACACGGACCAUGCGCCUACGAGAGGCAGCAGUAGGGAAUCUUCCGCAAUGGGCGAAAGCCUGACGGAGCAACGCCGCGUGAGUGAUGAAGGUCUUCGGAUCGUAAAACUCUGUUAUUAGUUAAGAACAUAUGUGUAAGUAACUGUGCACAUCGUGACGGUACCGAAUCAGAAAGCCACGGCUAACUACGUG
rnacentral:rRNA from 1 species